AUGAAGAUUGAACUUAAUAGCGGUUUGAUUUUAACUUUGAAGUGUGAAAACGUUCUGAUCUGUAUGUUUUGUAUUGUGAUUUCGUUAUCUCACUUGUUGUAUCUGAUUUUACUGACUGUGGUUUAUAGCAGAUUAAUUAGUUGCCUUAUUUUCCUAACUUAUGUUUUAUGUACACCGACUCCUCUGAAAAAUAUGCAUUUGUGA